rnacentral:rRNA from 1 species
GAUGAACGCUGGCGGCGUGCCUAAUACAUGCAAGUCGAGCGAACAGACGAGGAGCUUGCUCCUCUGACGUUAGCGGCGGACGGGUGAGUAACACGUGGAUAACCUACCUAUAAGACUGGGAUAACUUCGGGAAACCGGAGCUAAUACCGGAUAAUAUAUUGAACCGCAUGGUUCAAUAGUGAAAGACGGUUUUGCUGUCACUUAUAGAUGGAUCCGCGCCGCAUUAGCUAGUUGGUAAGGUAACGGCUUACCAAGGCAACGAUGCGUAGCCGACCUGAGAGGGUGAUCGGCCACACUGGAACUGAGACACGGUCCAGCAUCCUACGGGAGGCAGCGGUAGGGAAUCUUCCGCAAUGGGCGAAAGCUUGACGGAGCAACGCCGCGUGAGUGAUGAAGGUCUUCGGAUCGUAAAACUCUGUUAUUAGGGAAGAACAAAUGUGUAAGUAACGAUGCACGUCUUGACGGUACCUAAUCAGAAAGCCACGGCUAACUACGU